rnacentral:rRNA from 1 species
AUUGAACGCUGGCGGCAGGCCUAACACAUGCAAGUCGAACGGUAACAGGAAGCAGCUUGCUGCUUUGCUGACGAGUGGCGGACGGGUGAGUAAUGUCUGGGAAACUUCCCGAUGGAGGGGGAUAACUACUGGAAACGGUAGCUAAUACCGCAUAACGUCGCAAGACCAAAGAGGGGGACCUUAGGGCCUCUUGCCAUCGGAUGUGCCCAGAUGGGAUUAGCUAGUAGGUGGGGUAACGGCUCACCUAGGCGACGAUCCCUAGCUGGUCUGGGAGGAUGACCAGCCACACUGGAACUGAGACACGGUCCAGACUCCUACGGGAGGCAGCAGUGGGGAAUAUUGCACAAUGGGCGCAAGCCUGAUGCAGCCAUGCCGCGUGUAUGAAGAAGGCCUUCGGGUUGUAAAGUACUUUCAGCGGGGAGGAAGGGAGUAAAGUUAAUACCUUGGCUCAUUGACGUUACCCGCAGAAGAAGCACCGGCUAACUCCGUG